CCUACGGGUGGCAGCAGUGGGGAAUAUUGCACAAUGGGGGAAACCCUGAUGCAGCAACGCCGCGUGGGUGAAGAAGUAUUUCGGUAUGUAAAGCUCUAUCAGCAGGGAAGAAAAUGACGGUACCUGACUAAGAAGCCCCGGCUAACUACGUGCCAGCAGCCGCGGUAAUACGGAGGGGGCGAGCGUUAUCCGGAUUUACUGGGUGUAAAGGGAGCGCAGACGGCUGUGCAAGUCUGGAGUGAAAGCCGGUGGCCCCACCCCCGGACUGCUCUGGAAACUGUAAAGCUGGAGUGUAGGAGAGGUAAGUGGAAUUCUUAGUGUAGCGGUGAAAUGCGUAGAGAUUAGGAGGAAUACUCGUGGCGAAGGCGGCCUACUGGACCGUAACUGACGCUGAGGCACGAAAGCGUGGGGAGCAAACAGGAUUAGAUACCCCAGUAGUC
rnacentral:rRNA from 1 species